CAUUAAAGCGUAAGAACAAAUUUUUACACCCAGCGAUUUUCCUUCAGAUCAUCCAGAAUCCUCGAGAUAUUUCCCUCUUCUUCACCACGCACUCUUGUCUCUGUAACUUGGUGAUUCUGGUUCUGGAAAAUGUCUCGCGUUUACGUUGGAAAUUUAGACCCUCGAGUCACUGAGAGGGAUCUCGAAGAUGAAUUUCGUUUUUACGGUGUUCUUCGGAGCGUCUGGGUUGCUCGUAGACCCCCAGGAUAUGCAUUUAUUGAGUUUGAUGAUCGGAGGGAUGCACUUGAUGCAAUUCAUGCAUUGGAUGGAAAAAAUGGCUGGCGCGUAGAGCUUUCUCAUAAUUCUAAGGGUGGUGGUGGCCGAGGUGGGCGUGGCCGUGGAGGUGAGGACUUAAAAUGCUAUGAAUGUGGUGAGCCUGGACACUUUGCUCGAGAGUGUCGUUUGCGUAUUGGUUCACGUGGCUUGGGAAGUGGAAGGAGGCGAAGUCCAAGCCCUUAUCGGCGUCGUAGAAGUCCAAGUUAUGGGUAUGGCCGCAGUAGGUUGGAACUGACCUUCCUCAUCGGCCCAUCCUUGGAGUCAUCCUCUCCAUCUACCUGUCCUGAAGGUCCAGGAGGGGCUGGUGGACAAGAAGGUCUGCUCUGAAAUAAGGAUUGUUACUGAGGGGCAGUCAUCCUCCUCCGGAUGGAGAAAAGGAGUCUCAGAGAUUGCUUGAAAGCCUUUCGAUGAGGAUUGAGUGUCAGAUGAAGAAGAGUGUUAGGAAGGUAGAUGAAACUUUGGUAGUGUACAUGGAGUUAUAGCCCUCGUGGGAGAAGAUCUCCAAGACGAUGUAGCAUAUCACCUCUGCACCGUGGACGAAGCUACAGCAGGUCCCCCCCAUACCGUCAUUCUCGUCGUGAUUCACCUUAUUCAAAUGGAGAUUAAGCUCAGAAUGUGAAUGGAGCAAGUGCUGAAUAAUUGCUAGGGAGCCCUCUCUGCUAUAGUGUAGUUCCUCUAGGAUUGGUUGAGCAUACCAGACAUGUUAGUUAUGUUGAUGUCAUGAGAAUGGGUAUUGUUAGAAACUUGGCUUUUGAUGAAACCUGCAAAGUGUUGUAGCCGCCAAAAGGGUGGAUUGGACACUGUUUUGCGUCGGCUGUCUCUCUUCAGCUUACUGAAACCCUGAAGGUUGCUUCAGUCUUCCCUACUUAUAUAGCAAGUUAUGUUAAUUGUUUGUUUUAGUCUUACUAGUCCACUAUGGUAAUUCUGAUAUAUUUGCAUUAAAUGUGCCUAAAAUGUUUAUGUUUCUUUGUUUUGAGGUGUGAUUAUCGGCCAAAACAGCAUUGUUUCGCCACUUACAUCUUGUCUGCUUCUCUGCUGCAUGCCCCACAAUCGUCUCAUCUUGUUGCUUCUGCAUAUAAGUUGACUAAAAGUGCGAUGUCAGCAAGUUGGUUGAGUAUGACCUUUUUGUUAACUGUUCAAGAAUGGAAUGAUACAGAUGCAUCCUCCUUUUGAAUUGGAGAAGUCUAAAGCGGAUGGAUAGAAAGUAGUCAUUGACUUGGUGCAUCUUCAUGAAAUUGAGUCAAAUUGGGUUUCUAGUGAGUAGCUGCGUAUAGUGUUGUGUGUAGUUAAAUUGAUGGUUGCUGCUUCUAAAUGUCUGCUUCUCGAUUAGGAUGUUUCUUGUUUCAUCUAUGGUCUGUGUGGUAUAUGCCUGCUGAUUGUGAUUGUGUAGGACACCAUUUUCGGUAUUCUCCUUUGGCAAAUCACCUGUUGGUUAUCCAGCAAUGGAUACACAAGAACUUGCAUGAUCUAUGAGGAAUGGCAUCAGAGUGAUUCCAUUUAACUAUCCGAGUGUGCACUCGCCAAAUGUCAUCUGUUCUCUGCAUUCUGCCAUUUGAUCUGUGUCAGCUUCCUUACUCGGCCGAUUAGCUUUUGUAUGCUUCUGCAUGGAACUGUGUCUGUCAUCUUCAGCUACCAGGAUCAGUAUCACCAAUUGUUUCCCAUCUGCAGUUUUGCAUCACUCCAAAUAUUGUCCGUUCUUAAUCAAGUGUAGUACGUUCGGUUGAUUGACGGCAUUGCAUUGAUUGCAUUAGAUGUUUGACUGAGUAAUUAUGUCGCUUUCCCCCCUUUAUAUAGGAUGUGGGGUUGAUGUUGCCACUGAAAUUCAGUGUCAUACGUGCCUUAAUUUUCUCUGGCAUUAAUUAUUUUGCAAUAUAUAUUAAGAUUAGUUUAUUUUAAUUCUGGCAAUAAUGCUUUUUAAGGAUUGAGUACUGGCCUUUUGAUGUUAAAACAAGACUUGUAUGGAUUAACUAUAGCCAUUCGAAAGAGUCAAAAAGGGAAUUUCGUUCUUUAUGUUUUCGAAUCUUGAUUUAUCGUUUUACAUUUCGCUUGAUGUGAGGCCACCUGCUGUGCACAGGUGGGUGCAGUUAGAAUCGUUUUCAACCAAGAGGGUAAAGGGUGAUAUGAUUGUCAAAUUACUGUUGUGACGACUAUCGAAAACGGCGUCUAUUGUAUUUUUUAGGUGUGGCUCAUUGUGACCAGUAAACGUCUAGUUGAGUGUGUUUUUUUGGAAUCAGGUUUGUGUUUAUGUCAAUUUUAUCGCUAUAAAGCUGUUUAAUGCAAAUAUUGUGUUAGAGAUGACGUGCGCUAGAUUGAUUUGUAACCUAUGUGAAAUGUUGUGUUGCAAUUUAGAGUUUGAAAAAUAA